AUAUAGUGGUUUAUGCCCUUAUUUGGCUUCAAGAAGCAUUAGAAUCCCUUAUUUAACUUGCGGGGCAAUCAAGGAAUAGAAGCUACCAUCCUAGGGGGAGGAUCUAUUAUCUCUCUACCCAGCUCCUCGUCUAGCAGCCAAGAACAAGAGAGCUACAACACUCAGGUUGUUGAAUGAUUUAGGAUCGUCAAGGAAUCGAAGCUACCAUCGUAGGGGGAGGAUCUAUUAUCUAUCUACCCAGCUCCUCGUCUAGCGGCCAAGAAUAAGAGAGCUACAACACUCAGGUUGUUGAAUGAUUUAGGAUCAGAUGAGAAAACCAACCCUAGGAGAGAGGCUCAAUAAGAUAAGUUAAUCGGAGUUCCCGGAAGGAGGUCCCACCAUUUACUUGACUCUUAGAACCUUUGUUGGUUUUGGGCAACGGGG
rnacentral:lncRNA from 1 species